UAGGGAAUCUUCGGCAAUGGGGGCAACCCUGACCGAGCAACGCCGCGUGAGUGAAGAAGGUUUUCGGAUCGUAAAGCUCUGUUGUAAGAGAAGAACGAGUGUGAGAGUGGAAAGUUCACACUGUGACGGUAUCUUACCAGAAAGGGACGGCUAACUACGUGCCAGCAGCCGCGGUAAUACGUAGGUCCCGAGCGUUGUCCGGAUUUAUUGGGCGUAAAGCGAGCGCAGGCGGUUAGAUAAGUCUGAAGUUAAAGGCUGUGGCUUAACCAUAGUACGCUUUGGAAACUGUUUAACUUGAGUGCAAGAGGGGAGAGUGGAAUUCCAUGUGUAGCGGUGAAAUGCGUAGAUAUAUGGAGGAACACCGGUGGCGAAAGCGGCUCUCUGGCUUGUAACUGACGCUGAGGCUCGAAAGCGUGGGGAGCAAACAGGAUUAGAUACCCUGGUAGUCCACGCCGUAAACGAUGAGUGCUAGGUGUUGGAUCCUUUCCGGGAUUCAGUGCCGCAGCUAACGCAUUAAGCACUCCGCCUGGGGAGUACGACCGCAAGGUUG
rnacentral:rRNA from 1 species